GCCAGUGCAGCACGACGGGUGGUGCACGCGUCUCGUAAGCGCGCGGAGUCGGUUCGAGCCCGACCACUGGCUCCA
rnacentral:tRNA from 1 species